UACGUAGGGGCAAGCGUUGUCCGGAAUCAUUGGGCGUAAAGCGCGUGUAGGCGGCUUGGUAAGUCUGCUCUGAAAGCCCGGGGCUCAACCCCGGGAGGCGGGUGGAUACUGUCAAGCUCGAGUCCGGAAGAGGUGAGUGGAACUCCUAGUGUAGAGGUGGAAUUCGUAGAUAUUAGGAAGAACACCAGUGGCGAAGGCGGCUCACUGGUCCGGUACUGACGCUGAGGUGCGAAAGCGUGGGGAGCAAACAGG
rnacentral:rRNA from 1 species